AACACUGACGCUGAAGCACGAAAGCGUGGUGAGCAAACAGGAUUAGAUACCCUGGUAGUCCACGCCCUAAACGAUGCGAACUGGAUGUUGGUCUCAACUCGGAGAUCAGUGUCGAAGCUAACGCGUUAAGUUCGCCGCCUGGGGAGUACGGUCGCAAGACUGAAACUCAAAGGAAUUGACGGGGGCCCGCACAAGCGGUGGAGUAUGUGGUUUAAUUCGAUGCAACGCGAAGAACCUUACCUGGCCUUGACAUGUCUGGAAUCCUGCAGAGAUGCGGGAGUGCCUUCGGGAAUCAGAACACAGGUGCUGCAUGGCUGUCGUCAGCUCGUGUCGUGAGAUGUUGGGUUAAGUCCCGCAACGAGCGCAACCCUUGUCCUUAGUUGCCAGCACGUAAUGGUGGGAACUCUAAGGAGACUGCCGGUGACAAACCGGAGGAAGGUGGGGAUGACGUCAAGUCCUCAUGGCCCUUACGGCCAGGGCUACACACGUACUACAAUGGUCGGUACAGAGGGUUGCAAUACCGCGAGGUGGAGCCAAUCCCAGAAAGCCGAUCCCAGUCCGGAUCGGAGUCUGCAACUCGACUCCGUGAAGUCGGAAUCGCUAGUAAUCGCGGAUCAGCUAUGCCGCGGUGAAUACGUUCCCGGGCCUUGUACACACCGCCCGUCACACCAUGGGAGUGAGUUGCUCCAGUAGCC
rnacentral:rRNA from 1 species